rnacentral:lncRNA from 1 species
CUUUUAUUUGCGGGUGGCCUGACCGCAGCAAACCACGUGAGGGCUACUUACGCAGGUGGGGGUCUCGAGCUAUGGAGAGGUGGAAGAGUCACGUGCGUGCGGCGUUUUUUCAUCGAGAUUUUCUACAGAAGGACCCAUUUUCUGGCGUUUUUAGUGCUUGUGUGUAAUUACUUGUGUUUCUGUUUUAGAUAUUACAGGCACAUUUUUUUCCCCCGUAGUAGUAAAAUUUUCUUUGUAUAACAAGCGUGCUCAGUGGGUAGCUUUAAUUUGGCUAGGCACACACAGCAGGUAGUUGAACACGGGUUUCGUCGUUGGUAACCAGGAUAAAGCGUAUUGUCCGUAUCAAACGUAGAUUCACGGCUGGUGGAGAAAUGUGAUCUGCGCGAGAGGGUGUGGGACGAAAGCCAGAAACUGAGGUAUGAAAUCCGGAGCUGGCAUCAUGUUCUAUUCCAGUGGGUUGGCAUGUAACGGAAAUUAACAGAACAAAGAUGGGUUAGUCUUGUUUCAAAUGUGGUUACAGACUGUUAUGGAGCUUAACUGUUUGACCUGUAGCAAAUGGACCUGCUUAUGAAAAAUGUGUGCCAUUUAAUGCAGCCCUGCAGGUGAUGACAGACAAGGCCAGUCCCUGUGUGUGCCCUUUGACCUCUACCUGUCGCUCAGAGACAGUGAGCAAGCCAAAGAAGAGGUUAGCCAUCCCUUCUCCAGACAUAAUCUCUGAUUUGUGAAGGUCCCCUCCACCUGUGUGGCCAACCCCUUCUUUGUGGUUUACCUUCUCCUUUCCUGUCCAGCUCCUCCAGACUAUCACAGACCUGCGGGGCUCCCUGUGCCUUAAAGAUGCAGAACUGCAGUAUUGUCACUCGCAGGUUUCCCGCUACCGACAGGAGGCGGUCUCUCUCGCUCGCAACAGUGCCGUUCUGGAGGACACCCUGUCGGAGUGUCAGUUCACUGUGGAGCAGCUGGUGAAGGAACUGGAAGCACUGAGAUCACAGCAGAGGAUCCUCCUGGAGGAGCUGGAGGAGGUGCGCCAUGAGAAAGAGGAGCUGCAAGAGCGAUGGCUGCAGGAGAAAAGACAUGAGGCCGAAAGGGUGAACCAGAGCAAUGAAGCUCAGGAGAGGUGAGAUUGAGAUAAUUGGACAGACACAGGACAGCUCACCCUGAUCAGCAUUCAGAUCCUCAUGUAAGUGCUCAUGUUUUGGCUGCUUGUUGAAUGUUGUGGAUCAAGACAGUGGGUACAGAUGUGCAAUGCAGAUGAGGGCUCUCAGUGAUUUGACUUACUCUUGUCUGGACUGAACAGACAAGAAGGCUAGGAGAGAACAUAAAAAUGCCUUCAGUUUGAAAAAG